GUGGCAGACGGGUGAGUAACGCGUGGGAAGCUACCUUGUGGUAGGGGACAACAGUUUGAAAAGACUGCUAAUACCCUAUGAGCCCUAUGGGGGAAAGAUUUAUCGCCAUGAGAUGUGCCCGCGUUAGAUUAGCUAGUUGGUAAGGUAAUGGCUUACCAAGGCGACGAUCUAUAGCUGGUCUGAGAGGAUGAUCAGCCACACUGGGACUGAGACACGGCCCAGACUCCUACGGGAGGCAGCAGUGGGGAAUAUUGGACAAUGGGGGCAACCCUGAUCCAGCCAUGCCGCGUGUGUGAUGACGGCCUUAGGGUUGUAAAGCACUUUCAGCAGUGAAGAUAAUGACAUUAACUGCAGAAGAAGCCCCGGCUAACUUCGUGCCAGCAGCCGCGGUAAUACGAAGGGGGCUAGCGUUGUUCGGAAUCACUGGGCGUAAAGAGUACGUAGGCGGACUGAUAAGUUAGGGGUGAAAUCCCAAGGCUCAACCUUGGAACUGCCUUUGAUACUGUCAGUCUUGAGAUCGAGAGAGGUGAGUGGAACUCCGAGUGUAGAGGUGAAAUUCGUAGAUAUUCGGAAGAACACCAGUGGCGAAGGCGGCUCACUGGCUCGAUACUGACGCUGAGGUACGAAAGCGUGGGGAGCAAACAGGAUUAGAU
rnacentral:rRNA from 1 species